rnacentral:rRNA from 1 species
AUGGCGUACAUGACCAUUUCAUUCUCGGAGAUCAUCAUCAUAGCGCUCACGGCCGCAGCGCUUGCCACCGGUGGAGAAGCUGCUUCACCUCCAGCUCCGGCGCCGAUGGGGAUGCCGGGCUGCCACACCAUCUGCGGCAACAUAAGCGUGCCGUACCCGUUCGGCAUGGGACCGCCCAGGUGCUACUGGCCGGGGUUCAACCUCACCUGCGACAAUAGUACGACCCCGCCGCGGCUGCUGCUCGGCGGUGGCGGAGGCAUCCUACAUGUGGAGGAUUUCAGCCUCAUCGAGUCGGCGGUGCUAGUCAAACUUACCCCCGGCGACGUAAAGAUCGAUGGCGACGGCAACGGCUCAAUAUUCUCGGGAGGGCCUGACCAUGGGACCUACAACAUCAUGCUGACAGACACCUGGGUAUACGGCGCGAACGAGCUCAUCCUGCUGGGAUGCAACGUGAGAGCGAUGCUGAAACACGGCAACGCCACCGUGAGCGCCUGCUCCACCCUGUGCGGCGACGACCAACCCCAUCAGCCCAUGUGGACCGUACCGUCGAGGCUCGAGAGUAGCAUGGUUUGCACCGGACUCGGCUGCUGCCAGGCCUCCAUCGUCGCCGCCGCAGCGGCUGUCAGCGAGGUCCGGGUGCAGCUCGAGUGGUUCGGCCGGAAUCACAGUGCCGAGGAGGAACGGAUGCCCACACGCGUGUUCGUCGCCAAGGAGGGGUGGUUCGAGAAGAAACGGGUUUCCGGGCCGCUCCUACUUCAGAAGUCGUCGACCAUGGCCGGAGUUCCCGUGUGGCUGAGCUGGGAGGUCGACGCCAACAUUUCUUCUUCCCAUAGCCAUGGCCACGUCGUGUGCGAUCAGGGUACACGAGGAGGAUAUACAUGCCGCUGCGACAAUAACUACGAAGGCAACCCCUAUAUACGCGACGGAUGCCAAGAUGUCGACGAGUGUGAGUUUCAUCCGUGCCUUGAUGACGGUGUAUGUACCAAUACAGACGGAGGGUUUGACUGUGGGUGCCCACCAGGAACCCAUGGUAACAAUUCCAUACCCGGUGGCUGCGUUCCUUUUGUUUCCAUCACACAAGCGGAAGGUGGUACAUGCCAAAGGAAAUGCGGAGAUGUCAAUGUACUGUACCCGUUUGGCAUCGGGCCGUCCCACUGCUAUCGGCCAGGCUUCAACCUCACCUGCGACUACCCAAGCGGCAAGCCCCCGCGGCUAUUACUUGAUAGCUUUGGGAUCUUCCAAGUUGAAGAGAUCUCCCUCCCAAACACCACACUGCGUGUUACUAGCUCAUACGCCGUCAUCGAAGCUAACUCCAAAAAUAACUUUGGUUAUGAUUUCAAUGAACAUUUCACAAGCCGAGGGGACGUGCUCUACUCAUUGUCUACCUGUAAUGAGCUCAUCUUCUCAGGGUGUAACGUUCAGGCGACGCUACAUGGGAUUGACAAUGAUGCGUCCAUCAUCAGCGGCUACACCAGCUUCUGCUCCGAGAGCGAUGUCAGCGCCGGAAGGGUGCCGAUUGUGAGAAACAAGAAUUGCUACGGCAUCGGUUGUUGCCAGGCACGCAUUUCUGAGUCCUUGGAUGGCAUGCCUAGCAUGUUGAGCCUCAAGUUUGCCGACAUGAACAAUUUCCCGGAUAACAUGGCGCGACCCCCGUAUGCCCUGAUAGCGGAGGAGGGGUGGUUCGACAAUCGUCUCGUCUCCGACCAACAGACGCGUGCGCUUCAAAAUAAAUUGAGAUUUGCACCAAAGGUUCCUAUUGUUGUAGAAUGGAAGGUGCUACCAUCUGAAUCAGUAGGCUUACAUGACUUGCGUGAGCAUGUGAAGUCGUCGGCGGGUCUAAACUGCACUAUGGACGUAGCUGCUAACAUCUGCAAGAGCAAGUAUAGCAGGUGCAUACCAGCUGGGACGAACACAGGCUAUUAUUGCCAUUGUUGGGAGGGCUACCAAGGCAACCCCUAUGAACCUCAUGGAUGCAAAGGCGACCACAUCUCAUCUAAAGAAAGUAUGAUCAUAACAUUGGAAGAGCUAGAGAAGGCAACACGCAAUUUUGACAGUGAUCUUGUGGUUGGUGGUGGAGGGCAUGGUACCGUUUACAAAGGAAUUUUAUCAAACCAACGUAUUGUAGCCAUCAAGAAACCAAAGAAGGUGGUUCAGAAGGAGAUUGAUGAGUUUAUAAAUGAGGUUGCUAUCUUAUCACAAAUCAAUCAUAGGAAUGUUGUAAACUCUUUGGUUGCUGCCUUGAAACUGAAGUCCCAAUGUUGAUCUAUGAUUUCAUAUCCAACGGAACACUUUAUGAGCAUCUUCAUGUCGAAGGACCAAGAUCAUUAUCGUGGGGUGACAGACUUCGUAUAGCCAUUGAAACAUCAAAAUCUUUGGCAUAUCUUCACUCAGCCGCUGCAAUACCUAUCAUCCAUAGAGAUGUCAAGUCUGCUAACAUACUUUUGGAUGAUACUCUAACAGCAAAGCUAGCAGACUUUGGAGCAUCAAGGUACAUUCCCAUGGAGAAAUCUGGUUUAGAGACAAGGGCUCAAUGUACAAGAGGAUACUGGGACCCGAUGUACUUUUACACUGGGCACCUCACGGAGAAAAGUGAUGUUUACAGUUUUGGGGUUGUCCUUGUGGAACUGCUAACCAGGCACAAACAUCUUCAUAUUUGUCCUCAAAUGACAAGAGUCUUGUUGUACAUUUUGUUACUUUGUUUGCGGAAGGGAAUUUGCCCCAUAUAUUAGACCCACAAGUCAUCGAGGAAGGAGGCAAAGAAGUCGAAGAAGUGGCUGCUAUUGCCAUAGCAUGUGUAAAAUUAAGUGGAGAGGAUCGUCCAACCAUGAGGCAAGUGGAGUUGACACUAGAAGGCGUCCGUACAUCUGAGGGGCAUGUUUUACAUAAGGCGGUGGUUGAGGAAGUUCACAAUAAUGAUAUUGAAGUAGGUGUCCAAUCUAAUAAAUCAGUUAGAAAAGAUAAUGAGGGGUCAACAAGCCGGUAUAGUAUGGAAGAAGAGUUCAUACUAUCUGCAAGUUGUCCUCGGUAG